rnacentral:lncRNA from 1 species
CUGCCACAAAGAUUUUUCUGUACUAACUCAUCUGAUUUUAAAAUAGCCAAUGAAUAAAUGAACGAUUGAACAAACAAGAUAUCAUCUUAGAUGAUAUAUCCCAUGUCUGACUUAUCCUUAGAUACGUCAGAGUAUAUCUAAGUGUGUACAGACAUGAGCAGCAUUUCAAAGACAGAUCGGAAGGGUGUGAUGACAGAUUUAAGACUUAAGGCCAUGAACAGAAUGUCAGAGCACUCUCAAGUAUCACCUCUGGGUUCUCAAUUAUGAUGUCAGUUGAGACUCUUGACAAAUCAGGUGCCUGAAUGUAUUUUCCCUCCUAGUUGCCCACAGCUCAUGGUGGUAAGACUUCAGAAUUACGUAAAACUUGCAGUGAGAUCUUCCUCUAGGUUUGAUGUCAUCUGCAGAUGGAGGUCUAAGCAGAAAACACAAGCAUAGUGACUGUAUCAGCUCAGAGUGCUGGAAUCAUCCCUGUGCUGAGAAUUUACUGAUUCUGAAAUUUCAGAAAUUUCUGACAUGAGAAAUAAAAAC